rnacentral:rRNA from 1 species
ACAUGCAUACAACAUAUUGUUAAUGCAUUGGAUCCCAUUAGAAAUCCAUAGAUAAGAACACUUAGGCUAGAGUAGUACUGGGAUGGGUGACCGCCUGAGAAUAACUAGUGUUUUACAUGCC